AGAUGUGAGGAUAAUGUGGCUGUGACAUCUGUCACCCCAAUAAUUGCCAGGGUUGAUUCAGCUGAUCUGGCUGGGCUAGGCAUGUGUCCUCUUCCUCCCUCACCAUUCCAUUUGCUUCCCUCCUGAAGUUACAUGCUUGCUCGAAGAGGACAGCCAUCUCUGAUAGAAGAGGAUCAUUCUUUGGUCAAGGGUAUACAAGUAUCUAUACUCCCCUGCUAGGACCUCCAAACCAGCUCUCAGUCCACCUUCAAGAAUAACUUUGCUGGUUGUAGUAGUCUCUGUUGGUUUUUAUUUUGCUUCAAGACCUGAAAUACAUCAGUCCUUUUGCUCCUGGCCUUUAGAC
rfam:Dipodomys ordii contig_91522, whole genome shotgun sequence.